rnacentral:rRNA from 1 species
AUGCUCCGCCUCCAAAAGCGGCUGCUCUCUCUCCUCUGCGACGGCGGCGCCUCCCCUCUCCCCACCUUCCCCCUCACCUCCCUCCACCGCCACCUCUGCGCCACCGCCACCGCCACCGCCACCGCCACCACCUCCACCGAGUCCCCUUUCUCCGCCCAGGACUACCUCGUCAACACCUGCGGCCUCACCCGGGCGCAAUCCCUCAAGGCGUCCAGGUCCAUCUCCCAUCUCAGGUCCCCCUCCAACCCCGACGCCGUCCGCGCCUUCCUCUCGGGCCUCGGCCUCUCCAGCUCCGACAUCGCCGCCGUCGUCGCCGCCGACCCGAAGUUCCUCUGCUCGAGGGUGGACGAGACCCUCGCCCCCCGCGUCGCCAAGCUUCGCGACCUCGGGCUAUCCCCUUCCAAGAUCGCGCGCCUCGUCUUGAUCGGCGCCCCGGCGUUGCGUUCCUGCGACGUCGCCAGCAGGCUUCGGUUCUGGAUCCCAUUGUUCGGCUCCUUCGACGAAUUGGUCAAGGCCGUGUCGAGGGGAGCUCUGGGAGGUGGUGCCCUCCUAAGGCGUGACAUUGACACGGUGGUUAAGCCCAACGUCGAGCUACUUCUGCGCUGCGGGUUAAAAAUCCCUCAUCUCGCGAAGACUGGCCUCAGUGGGACGUGGGUGCUCGUCUGCAGCCCAGAAAAGCUCCAGGUACUGCUCGCACGCGCAGAUGAGCUUGGGGUACCACGCGGCUCUGGCCAAUUCAUGUAUGCGCUCGGGACCGUCUCCUGCGUAACCCAAGAGAAGCUUGGUGCAAGAAUGGAGUUACUGAAGAAGACCCUUGGCUGCUCUGAUGACAUGCUGAAAAUUGCGGUCGUCAAGCACCCAAGCCUCCUAAGAUCAUCUGAGGACAACCUGCGCAGCACGGUAGAGUUCCUGAUCAACAAGGUCGGUCUUGAGCCAGAGUACAUCGUGCGCAGGCCCUCGCUGAUCACUUACAGCCUGAAGACGAGGCACGUGCCUCGGUACAUUGUCAUGAAGAUACUGCGGGGCAAGGGACUUCUGAGUUCUGACUAUUGCUCACUGCUUUCUGCGAGCGAGAUGUACUUCAAAUCAAGGUUUAUCGACCGUUACAAGGAGAGUGUUCCUGAGCUUGCAGAUGUGUAUGCCGCAGCUCGUGCAGGGAAAAUACCUCCUCACCUCAAACCUUGA